rnacentral:rRNA from 1 species
UACGUAGGGACCAAGCGUUGUUCGGAUUUACUGGGCGUAAAGGGCGCGUAGGCGGCGCGGUAAGUCACUUGUGAAAUCUCUGAGCUUAACUCAGAACGGCCAAGUGAUACUGCAGUGCUAGAGUGUGGAAGGGGCAAUCGGAAUUCUUGGUGUAGCGGUGAAAUGCGUAGAUAUUGGGAGGAACACCGGUGGCGAAGGCGGCUACCUGGACCGGUUCUGACGCUGAUGCGCGAAAGCGUGGGGAGCAAACAGG